rnacentral:rRNA from 1 species
CCUAAAAAUAAUUUAAGGUGAUGCCUGCCCAAUGAUUAAAAUUUUAUUUCUUAAUAAGAAAUUAAUUAACUAAAUGGCCGCAGUAUUCCUGACUGUGUUAAGGUAGCACAAUCAAUCGCCACUUAAUUAGUGGAUAGUAUGAAUGGUAAUACGAAAAUUUCACUGUCUUAAAUGUAAAACUAAAAAAAUUGAAAUAAUAGUUAAGAUGCUAUUUAAAAUCGUAAGACGAUAAGACCCUAUAAAGCUUAACUACAAUUCUUAACUAUUAAUUAUAUUUAAGAAAAAGGUAGUUUACUUGGGGCAAGGACUUUUUAAAUUAAAAAAAAAGUAAGCAAAAUGAAUAAUACAUUUAUUGUAUAAAUAACAUUUUUAACAAUCACAAUGUGGGCUAUAGUGACCCGUUUAUACUUAAAAAACAGAUAAACAAUUAUUGAAUAAAAGCUACUUUAGGGAUAACAGGAUAAUUUCAUCAAAGAGUUCAUAUCACUGAUGAAGUUUAUCACCUCGAUGUUGAAUUAAGAUUUCCUGGCGGAGCAGAAACUGCCAAAGGUAGGUCUGUUCGACCUUUAAA